AUACGUAGGGGACAGGCGUUAUCCGGAUUUACUGGGCGUAAAGGGCGUGUAGGCGGUCUUGCAAGUCAGAAGUGAAAUUCCUGAGCUCAACUCGGGCGCUGCUUCUGAAACUGCAGGACUUGAGUGCUGGAGGGGAUAGCGGAAUUCCUAGUGGAGCGGUAAAAUGCGCAGAUAUUAGGAAGAACACCGGUGGCGAAGGCGGCUAUCUGGACAGUACCUGACGCUGAGGCGCGAAAGCGUGGGGAGCAAACAGGAUUAUAUACCCUGUUAGUCCACGCCGUAAACGAUGAAUACUAGGUGUAGGGGGUGUCGACUCCCUCUGUGCCGCAGUUAACACAAUAAGUAUACCGCCUGGGGAGUACGGCCGCAAGGUUGAAGCUCAAAGGAAUUGACGGGG
rnacentral:rRNA from 1 species